rnacentral:rRNA from 1 species
UACAGAGGUCUCAAGCGUUGUUCGGAUUCAUUGGGCGUAAAGGGUGCGUAGGCGGCGCGGUAAGUCGGGUGUGAAAUCUCGGAGCUUAACUCCGAAACUGCAUUCGAUACUGCCGUGCUUGAGGACUGGAGAGGAGACUGGAAUUUACGGUGUAGCGGUGAAAUGCGUAGAUAUCGUAAGGAAGACCAGCGGCGAAGGCGGCAUCCUGGACCAAUACUGACACUGAGGAGCGAAAGCCAGGGGAGCAAACGGG